GGGCGAGAGGGACGCGGGCAUAGGAGACUUGGGCAGAGGGCAGAUCAUGUCGGCACAGAUACGGUGGGUGUAUGGCCGCACACUUAGCAAAAUGCACUGUCAGACUUCUCUGCUUCUCAGUCAUAGAAUCAUAGAGAGUUAAGCGUUUGGGAGGGACCCUAAAUAUUAUCUAGUCCUGUUCUCCCCGGCCAUGGGCAGGGACACUUCCCACUAGACCAGGUUGCUCAAGCCCUUAUCCAAGCUGGUUUUGAAGGCUGCCACUGCCGGGGCAUCCACAAUUUCCCUGAGCAACCUGUCCCAGUGUCUCACCACCCUCACCGUAAAGAAUAUCUUCGUAUUAUUUUUAAGUAACAGUUUAUGGAACAUGUAGAGAGACAAAAGCUUACUUGAUUCUGACAUAAAAACGUACUUGAUUCUCAGAUGAUACAUUGCAAUAUAUUUAAUUAUAGCAUUUUCUCUCUUACCAUUCGUCGUGGUAAUUGUUGUUGACCCUGCUAUUGAUUAAUGCACAUGUGGUAACCUUGUUAAUCUGCUCUCUAGAGAGUAUCUAUUUAAAAAAACAAGCAUUAGCAGGACUACAUUCUGGGCUAUAAGCAUAUGCUCACAAUGGGUGAAAAGGACUGCUUUUCCCCAAGAAAGAUGAUGAAACUCUCAAUAUGAAACUCACCUGAUGUUCCAUGUAUAUGUCUUAUGCUUAUGGGACCUAAUGAGCUUGCAGAAUUUGUGCUUUCAGCAAUCAUAAUUUUGGGCAAAGAUUCCCUUUACAUUUAUGCUUCCUGCUGUUCUGGUUUCAGCUGAGAUCUGGUUAAUUUUCCCAUGGCACCUAUGAAGGGCCCCAGUUUUUCAUUUGAGCUUCUGUUUGCUAUUAGACCAUAAAUAUUAAAUACUGUCUCAAAAACAAUUAAGAGCAAAUGUGCCUUUAAUGUGUAGUGCAGAGAGCAUAGCAUCAGUAACAGGAAAAGUGAUACAUUCAUCUAGACCUCAGAGAGGAAAGAGGACACUGCUCAGCUUCAGCAAGAAGGCUUCAACUCCUCGCUUUUCUUUUGACCAGUCCUUCAGAAUGGAAGCAAGCUGGACUUGCAGGAAGUCAGAGACAGCAGUCAUCCCAGGUGGCAAAAGGAGUGGAACUUUUUUGGUUUUGUUUUUGUUGGUGGUUGUUUGGUUUUUUUUUUUAGUGUGUGUAAUAAUUAAAAUAAUUAAAAGGCUGAACAAGGA
rnacentral:lncRNA from 1 species